GCUCCGUGGGCGGUGAUCGUCACGGUGGUCAACAGGGUCAAAAGUAACACGCACGUAACGUACUGCAUGGUGGCGAAAGGUGUUCCUCUGGCAACUGCAAUUAUUCUGGAGGAAGAGUUUGUCAGGUUCAGCUUAGCGUGAGUGAAUGAGAGGAAAACCAGACGCGUUAUUUUUUAUAUUGGUGGCUUUGUAUCGAUUUCGGUUUUCAUUAUAUAUUACUUUGUUUCUUUCGGAAAUUUAAUUUCGUGAGUGAAAAGUAAAUUAUUAUCCUAGAAUUUGCAGUUUAUACUUCAAUAAAAUAAAAGCUUUCUCUACGCUCUUCAAAACUUCUUCGGAAUAUACUUUCACCAAUCAAAAGCAGCCAUCACCGGGAGAUCAGGGUUUAGUGCAUUCUGAACCCUUCCCUGCUAGAGAAGGAACGAUUCCUCUGAAAAUUUUACACGCGCCAACGUAUACCAACUAAGGUAACAAAAUGGUUCGUCGAUUUCUUCUAUGGACUUUCAUUCUGCUGGCGCUGGUGGUGGACUCGCUUCGAGCUCAAGGAGAUGACAGCGUUCAGGCCGUUAUGGGCGAAGUGGCCCGCAAAUUCGAGAAACUUUCAGGAAUCUAUUACUUGAAUGCGUACCUAAUGGACAUGGCAAAUGUUUUAUCGAGCAUGAAGCCCCACUAUGGCGUUGUAGAAAUGCGAUACCAUGAACCUUUACCUAGUUUUUAGACCAUUAUUGUUGGAAAUAAAAUAUUAAAAUGUAGUUACUAA